UGGCCCUUAAUCUUAUGAUUUUCGUCUCAAUCUCAUCCAUUCGCCUAUUUUGCUGGACACAUGGACAGAUGGACACGUGAAAAGUCGAUCCUGCCCCUCCCUAAUUUCUUUCCCUGCUGGCUGCUCACGACGUUUCUCUCCGUUCUUUCCUUCCUCUUGUUUUCUUCAUGGCGACUGGACAAAUAGGUUAGGGUUUCGGCUUGGGGAGGAUAGCUGUGGUGGCGCACCCUUUUCUUGGUGGAGGCGCACCCCAUCUCUUGGUGGAGGCGCACCCUUCUACUGGCUCAUCUACAGCCACGACGCAGGAAGAGGAGUGCACGAGCUGCAACAGGGCUGCAAAAAUUAUGGUCACAACUCGAGGACUUGCAAACAACAAAUGCAAGAACAUGCUGGGUCACAUAAUCCGCCUGCUGCUGCAAUAAGUCAGUCAGUCCCAUUGCCAAUUCAACCUGCACAGUCCAAUCAAACCAAACGAAAAUCUGUAGCUGACUUCAUCAAGUCAGAGUAAGAUGCCUGAAGGUUCAUCAUUUAUACAGUCUGGUCCAAAAAGAAGGCUACUAUCUUUUGGAGAGAGUGCUCAAGCAUCUGCUGGAGGUAGUGCUUCUGUUGUUAUCGAAACCAAUGCUGGGACUGCUUCCUCAUUUGCAAAGGCAACAAUCAAUGUAAAAGGUGGGCGUGCAUCUGCAAAAAUCAAAUCCACAUCACUUGGCCGUGGAUCAACAUCAGGCCAAAGCAGCUCUUCUUAGAAAAAAAACAUCCAAGCUGGUGCAAUCAUAGAACAAGAAGAUGUAGUUUCAACGCCUAGUUUCAAGGCAUGAAUGCUUUUGUAUCAUUUAUUAUGUCAAAACCAUGAGACAUGUUACAUUUGUAUCAUUUGUUACAACAAUGACAACAAUUUGUUUCUGCAUUCA